UGACUCACUAAAUGACCACCAUGUAGAUCUAUCAUCCUAGCAACUGGCUGCAGAUUCUCUGCAAGUCUCCUGGCGUAGUAUAUUUGAGCAAUGAUAUCAUGCCUACACAUACAGAGCAGCUCAAAUUCAUCUUAAGAAGUGGGUAUCCAAGUCAACAGCUGCCCUUUGCUCAGGAGUCUUUGCCCUUAAGAAACGGAUUGCAAUUGACACAGUCUGGCGAUCAAGCUGCAAGAAAUAAGUAAGAUCAUCUUUCUGAUAACACUUAGAACUAGCAAAUCCAUCUUACAAUUACUAGCUAAUAGAUUUGUGAAGCAGUUCUAGUUUAGGACAUUCAAGAUUCAUCUGACUUAAAAGCUACAUAUAGAUUUAUGCCCAUGUCAAGCAAAUCAUAUAUACUUUAAAAGCUGCAAAUCCUUAUCCAUCAAAGUAAACCUGGUUAUUUACUUGUCAUCCUAAUGUAAAAGUUUGAUAUUUUCAAGAAUAGUUUAUGAACAUUGCAUUGAGGAUUAUAACCUUACCAUGUGAUAAAAAUAAGCAUUUCAAAGGCUCAACAGAAUUACAAGCCACAAGCAACAAUGAGUUCAAGGAGGGCUGGCAAAGGCCUAUACCACCCUAAAAUUGUUAUUAUUAGUUGGGAAUAUGUUAGUGUGGGAAUGUUUUAAAUAGACUCUCACGUUUUUCUAAAGAAAAUUUUAAUGAAAUAUUAAAUGGUUUAUAUUUUCUUUACCAAUUAAAAAAAAAAUUAAUGGGCCUAUAUCCUGGAAGAAAGGUAAUUGUUUUAGUCCAACUAAAUUUAAUUUAGUGUCCCAUUCUCUUAAAUUUCUCUAUACGUAAUAAAAAUAUGAUUUUUUUAAAAAAAAGAUCCAACUGUAAGUAAAACACACCAUAAUACAUCUACGUCUAAAUGUUGCAUUCCUCACAAGCGAACUUGAUGGGCAUUUAACAAAAGUCUAUAGUUCUGUUAUUUCUAUCUGCAGAACAGUAUAUGCCAAAUUUAUGCUUUCUAGCAAACAUAGUUAUGGAUGUUUAAGGGAUAAAAGCAUUUGCUUGUAAUAUGUAAUGCAAAAGGCCAGGUGGCACAAAGAUUGAUGUUCAAACCUGAGAAAUGAGACCAAGACGACAAGGGAUUGGAUGUUUAGAAUGUAUGAUAAAAAAAAAAAAAAUCUUUUUAGCUGUUUCUGGUGAUAGAUAAUC